UGGGUAGGUUCGGAUCAGGCCAAAAAUUUGAAGUUACUAUGCUUAUCUAUUAUUUUUACCCAUUAUAUUUAUAUGAAUGUGUAGUCUAGAUUUGUAACGUAAAGAUCCUUUUAUGGUAUUGGAGAAUUAGAAGACUAAAAGUUACAAAGAAAUAAUAUAAUCUGGAAUUCUAAGCACAAAUUACAUUUGUUUUUACUAUAAAUUUCCUGUUAAUUUUGUUUCCAUUAUCAGUUGUGUUAAUAAAAUAUUUUUAUUUUCUGUUGUUUAUUUAUUUGGUUUUUGAAAAUUUAAGGAGUGGACUAUCAACCUAACGUGGUGUUAGGCUCAGUAGAGUUGUGGUACAAAAGAAAAGGUGGUUGCAAGGAAGUUUUGUAUGCAGAGAGCUCAUUGUAGGAGAAGGUGGGCAGUCAAUGGAUAAUUUUGAUAAGAGGAAUUAGACAUAUUCUUUGACAGAUAAAUCUCCAAGGCUGGAGCUUAAAUGCUGUAAAACAUUGAAAGAGAAUAUCAAGUAGCUUAUGCUGGGUUAUUGAUGGAAGAUGUGAUUUGCAAAUUGUCUCACUAUCUAUAUUUAUGAAUGUUGAGAAAAGAAGACAUUUGAGGUCUUCUACUAAGGCAAUUGUAUGAUCGCAAGUUGUUUUGAGAGCCAUAA